rnacentral:rRNA from 1 species
UACAGAGGGUGCAAGCGUUAAUCGGAAUUAUUGGGCGUAAAGCGCAUGUAGGUGGUUGUGUAAGUUUGAUGUGAAAGCCCUGGGCUUAACCUGGGAAUGGCGUUGAAUACUGCACAACUUGAGUCGGACAGAGGGCGGUGGAAUUUCCGGUGUAGCGGUGAAAUGCGUAGAGAUCGGAAAGAACAUCGGUGGCGAAGGCGGCCGCCUGGGUCCAGACUGACACUGAGGUGCGAAAGCGUGGGGAGCAAACAGG